AGUUUUUAUAGUUUAUUAAAAAUAUUGGUCUUGUAAACCAAAGAUAAAAUUUUUAUUUUAAAAACUU
rnacentral:tRNA from 1 species